rnacentral:rRNA from 1 species
UACGGAGGGUGCGAGCGUUGUCCGGAAUCACUGGGCGUAAAGGGCGCGUAGGCGGCUUCUCAAGCGUGUGGUGAAAGUCCGGGGCUCAACCCCGGAUCGGCCGUGCGGACUGGGGAGCUCGAGUUCUGUAGAGGCGGGUGGAAUUCCGGGUGUAGCGGUGGAAUGCGUAGAGAUCCGGAAGGACACCGGUGGCGAAGGCGGCCCGCUGGGCAGAGACUGACGCUGAGGCGCGACAGCGUGGGGAGCAAACAGG